rnacentral:rRNA from 1 species
AGAGUUUGAUUCCAUGGCUCAGGAUGAACGCUAGCGGCAGGCUUAACACAUGCAAGUCGAGGGGUAUAAGUCUUCGGAUUUAGAGACCGGCGCACGGGUGCGUAACGCGUAUGCAAUCUACCUUUUACAGAGGGAUAGCCCAGAGAAAUUUGGAUUAAUACCUCAUAGUAUUAUAGAAUGGCAUCAUUUUAUAAUUAAAGUCACAACGGUAAAAGAUGAGCAUGCGUCCCAUUAGCUAGUUGGUAAGGUAACGGCUUACCAAGGCUACGAUGGGUAGGGGUCCUGAGAGGGAGAUCCCCCACACUGGUACUGAGACACGGACCAGACUCCUACGGGAGGCAGCAGUGAGGAAUAUUGGACAAUGGGCGCAAGCCUGAUCCAGCCAUGCCGCGUGCAGGAUGACGGUCCUAUGGAUUGUAAACUGCUUUUAUACGAGAAGAAACAUUCCGACGUGUCGGAACUUGACGGUAUCGAAGAAUAGGAUCGGC